rnacentral:rRNA from 1 species
GACGAACGCUGGCGGCGUGCCUAAUACAUGCAAGUAGGACGCAGUUGCGAACGGGAGAGUAACGCGUAGGUAACUACCUAUUAGAGGGGGCUAACAAUUGGAAACGAUAGCUAAUACCGCAUCCUAAUAGAUGGACCUGCGUGGUAUUAGCUAGGAUGUAGGGUAAUGGACUACCUAGGCAACGAUACAUAGCCGAACUUAUGGGGUGAUCGGCCACACUGGGACUGAGGCACGGCCCAGACUCCUUCGGGAGGCAGCCGGAGGGAAUCUUCGGCAAUGGGGGGAACCCUGACCGAGCAACGCCGCGUGAGUGAAGAAGGUUUUCGGAUCGUAAAGCUCUGUUGUUAAGGAAGCGGUACUUAACCAGAAAGGGACGGCUAACUACGUGCCAGCAGCCGCGGUAAUAC